rnacentral:rRNA from 1 species
AGUGCCCAGCUUGCUGGGUGACUCGAGUGGCGAACGGGUGAGUAACACGUGGGUGAUCUGCCCUGCACUUUGGGAUAAGCCUGGGAAACUGGGUCUAAUACCGAAUACACCUCAUUGGCUGCAUGGCUGGUGGGGGAAAGCUUUUGCGGUGUGGGAUGGGCCCGCGGCCUAUCAGCUUGUUGGUGGGGUGAUGGCCUACCAAGGCGACGACGGGUAGCCGGCCUGAGAGGGUGUCCGGCCACACUGGGACUGAGAUACGGCCCAGACUCCUACGGGAGGCAGCAGUGGGGAAUAUUGCACAAUGGGCGCAAGCCUGAUGCAGCGACGCCGCGUGAGGGAUGACGGCCUUCGGG